CUGCUGAGGAGUCCCAUAAUAGGACGAAACGGCCGUCCAG
rfam:Schistosoma rodhaini strain Burundi genome assembly, scaffold: SROB_scaffold0016393